rnacentral:rRNA from 1 species
GACGAACCGUGCGAACGUUGUUCGGAAUCACUGGGCUUAAAGGGCGCGUAGGCGGGCUGUUUAGUCGGGGGUGAAAUCGUUCGGCCCAACCGGACAAGGGCCUCCGAUACUGGCAGUCUUGAGGGAGGUAGGGGUUGGUGGAACUUCCGGUGGAGCGGUGAAAUGCGUAGAUAUCGGAAGGAACGCCGGUGGCGAAAGCGGCCAACUGGACCUCUUCUGACGCUGACGCGCGAAAGCUAGGGGAGCGAACGGG